UAAUGUGUGUGUUCCGCACACUGUGGGAAACCACUGAUUCUCCAAACUUCUGUAGGUUCUGAAAGUUCUAUCGGUUCUGCAGGUUCUAAAGUUUCUAAAGGUUCUGUAGGUUCUGUAGGUUCUGAAGGUUCUGAAGUUUAUGUAGGUUCUGCAGGUUCUGAAGUUUCUAAAGGUUCUGUAGGUUCUGAAGUUUCUGUAGGUUCUGCAGGUUCUAAAGGUUCUGUAGUUUCUGUAGGUUCUGCAGGUUCUGAAGGUUCUGAAGUUUCUGUAGGUUCUGUAGGUUCUGAAGUUUCUGUAGGUUCUGCAGGUUCUGCAGGUUCUGCAGGUUCUGUAGGUUCUGUGCUGAAGGUUCUGCAGAGGUAAAGCUGAUGUUCUGAGUUUCUCAGGUCUGUU